rnacentral:rRNA from 1 species
GCAGCCGCGGUAAUACGGAGAGGGCUAGCGUUAUUCGGAAUUAUUGGGCGUAAAGGGCGCGUAGGCUGGUUAAUAAGUUAAAAGUGAAAUCCCGAGGCUUAACCUUGGAAUUGCUUUUAAAACUAUUAAUCUAGAGAUUGAAAGAGGAUAGAGGAAUUCCUGAUGUAGAGGUAAAAUUCGUAAAUAUUAGGAGGAACACCAGUGGCGAAGGCGUCUAUCUGGUUCAAAUCUGACGCUGAAGCGCGAAGGCGUGGGGAGCAAACAGGAUUAGAUACCCUGGUAGUCCACGCUGUAAACGAUGAAUGUUAAAUAUGGGAAGUUUACUUUCUGUAUUACAGCUAACGCGUUAAACAUUCCGCCUGGGGACUACGGUCGCAAGAUUAAAACUCAAAGGAAUUGACGGGGACCCGCACAAGCGGUGGAGCAUGUGGUUUAAUUCGAUGCAACGCGAAAAACCUUACCACUUCUUGACAUGGAAAUCAUACCUAUUCGAAGGGAUAGGGUCGGUUCGGCCGGAUUUCACACAAGUGUUGCAUGGCUGUCGUCAGCUCGUGUCUCUGAGAUGUUGGGUUAAGUCCCGCAACGAGCGCAACCCUCAUCCUUAGUUACUAUCAGGUAAUGCUGAGGACUUUAAGGAAACUGCCAGUGAUAAACUGGAGGAAGGUGGGGAUGAUGUCAAGUCAUCAUGGCCCUUAUGGAGUGGGCUACACACGUGCUACAAUGGUGUCUACAAUGGGUUGCAAGGUGCGCAAGCAUAAGCUAAUCCCUUAAAAGACAUCUCAGUUCGGAUUGUACUCUGCAACUCGAGUACAUGAAGUUGGAAUCGCUAGUAAUCGUGGAUCAGCAUGCCACGGUGAAUACGUUCUCGGGAAGAUAAUAGA